UCAGUCGACUCCUACGGGGAGGCAGCAGUGGGGAAUAUUGCACAAUGGGGAAACCCUGAUGCAGCCAUGCCGCGUGUGUGAAGAAGGCCUUCGGGUUGUAAAGCACUUUCAGUAGGGAGGAAGGUAGUGUAGUUAACACCUGCAUUAUUUGACGUUACCUACAGAAGAAGCACCGGCUAACUCCGUGCCAGCAGCCGCGGUAAUACGGAGGGUGCGAGCGUUAAUCGGAAUUACUGGGCGUAAAGCGCAUGCAGGCGGCCUGUUAAGUCAGAUGUGAAAGCCCGGGGCUUAACCUCGGAAUUGCAUUUGAAACUGGCAGGCUAGAGUCUUGUAGAGGGGGGUAGGAAUUUCAGGUGUAGCGGUGAAAUGCGUAGAGAUCUGAAGGAAUACCAGUGGCGAAGGCGGCCCCCUGGACAAAGACUGACGCUCAGAUGCGAAAGCGUGGGGAGCAAACAGGAUUAGAUACCCUGGUAG
rnacentral:rRNA from 1 species